rnacentral:rRNA from 1 species
UGGCUCAGAUUGAACGCUGGCGGCAUGCCUUACACAUGCAAGUCGAACGGCAGCGGACCUUCGGGUGCCGGCGAGGUGGCGAACGGGUGAGUAAUGCAUCGGAACGUGCCAUUGAGUGGGGGAUAACGUAGCGAAAGUUGCGCUAAUACCGCAUAUUCUGUGAGCAGGAAAGCAGGGGACCGCAAGGCCUUGCGCUCUUUGAGCGGCCGAUGUCAGAUUAGCUAGUUGGUGAGGUAACGGCUUACCAAGGCGACGAUCUGUAGCGGGUCUGAGAGGAUGAUCCGCCACACUGGAACUGAGACACGGUCCAGACUCCUACGGGAGGCAGCAGUGGGGAAUUUUGGACAAUGGGGGCAACCCUGAUCCAGCCAUGCCGCGUGAGUGAAGAAGGCCUUCGGGUUGUAAAGCUCUUUCGGCCGGGAAGAAAUCGCAUGGGUUAAUACCCUGUGUGGAUGACGGUACCGGCAUAAGAAGCACCGGCUAACUACGUG